AGUCAGUUUUCAUGUAAAUAAGUGAACCACACAAAUUCCCGAGGCAACUAUAUAAGCCACUCUCCCUCUUACGUUUUGCUCACUGAUUCUUCUAUAUGCACUCAAAUACAGAAGUAUUCUUUCCGUUUUUCAUAUGACGCAGAAGAAAGAUAGCAAGGCGGCAGACAGAGGUUCUCUCGAGAUGAGGUGCAUUAUGGGGGUGUGAGGAAGACGUUAUGCGGAAAGUACACGGCUGAGAUAAGCAGCUGGCUCGGGACUUUUGAUAUGCCUGAGAAAGCUGCUAGGGCUUAUGCGGUGGUGAGGCUAUUUCGCGGCUAUAAGGUCGUCACUAAUUUUCCUGAGAUAACCUUCAAAACGCCGAAGAUUUUCUCGAGAAGCUUGUUAUUAAGUAUGUUAGUGAUGAUAAUAAUUGUUCCAAUCAUAUCCUCCCGGAUCUGACAGUGCUAUCACAUCGUCUUCCACAGCAAGCGGCGGUGUGGUGAGGUUUCCGUUGCUAUAAAUCAGAAUCUUGAGUUUCGUAGUUAUUGUACUUGUCGGGUGCCGGCGACACCAGAACAGAAUCUGUGGUAACCGUCCGAUAACUACGAAACUGAGGAUUCUGAUAGGCAACCCAAACUUUACCGCACCGCGGCCUGCUUUGGAAGACGAUCUGAUUGCACUGGUCAGAUUUGAGAGGAUACGGUUGGACUAAUUAUUAUUUAUUACCAGCGACAUUCUUAUGAUUAAGCUUCUUGAGAAAAUCUUCGGUGUUUUUGAGUGUUAUCAUCUGGAAAAUUAAGUACGGCCUUGUAGACGCGAAACAGCCUCACCACCGCAUCAUAAGACCAGUGUUAUGAGUGGCGCUUGCCACAUCGCCAAGCCCAUCUGCCUUUGUGGUGAUGCCACCUUCGAAAGGAGACGAGGUAACAAGGAGACUGUCGCUGGGCAAAAACGGAAGGAAAUUUUUGUAGUUGUGUGUAUAUAGAAGAAUCAGUGGGCAAAAACGGAAGGAACUUUUUGUGUAUAUAGAAGAAUCAGUGGGCAAAAACGGAAGGAUUUUUUUGUAUUUGUGUGUAUAUAGAAGAAUCAGUGGGCAAAAAUAAGAAGAGGGAGAGUGAUUUAUGUUGCUCUCUCUCAAAGGGGAGCUGAUUUUCGAUCAUCUUUUGGUGUCGUGUUAGGUGGGGCUAGAACUGUCGCUCGCCCAAAUAAGAAUCCCAUUGCAAAUUAUUUUGUGACAACUAGAGAUCGGAGAUCCAUAAGCUAUCCUAAUAUGCUCAUUGCGAUACAACAGUCGCGAAGAUGCUGGGUGGAAACAAAUGUGAUUUGGACAACAUUAGAGACGUUAGUAUUGAAGAAGGCGGAAGCUAGCAGAAGCAAAAGGAUUGUUCUUCAUGGAGACAUCUGCAUUAGAUUCUACAAACGUUAACAAGGCUUUCGAGAUUGUCAUCCGUGAAAUCUACAGCAAUGUCAGCCGUAAGGUCUUGAAUUCGGAUUCCUACAAGGCCGAGUUAUCUAUUAACAGGGUAAGCCUCGUAAAAGACGAUGGAGAAGGAUCUAAACGAUCUUGGAGCAGUUGUUGCUCAACAUGAACUAACAUUUUGUAUUGUUGGUUCAAAGAUUAAGAGAUUUUUUUAGUAUUUAUUCAAUUCAUUUACACAGUGAAUUGAAUAAAUGUCUCUUAACUCUGGUUAAGCGAUAUGCAUUUUCACUUUUAAGUUAUACUAUUCAUAAAGGAUAAAUUGUUCAAUUUGAUGUAAACACCAGGUACGAGCAUAUAUUUUUUUCG